GCAGUCGCUUAACCAACUGAGCCACCCAGGAGGAAAAAUCAAGAAUAUCAUCCAACAGGCUGGAUGACACAGGCACGAUUCUCUGGAGACAGAUGCUGAG